rnacentral:misc_RNA from 1 species
AAAAUAAAUUGAAACCUCACAAGGCUAGCAAAAAAUUUGAGAUGUUAAGAAAAUAGAAACAGCUGGUUGAAGGGAAAUAUUUGUUAUUAUUUGUUCAUUUCCUAUUAUUUAUCCAGCCAUCAAUCCAUUAUCAGCUACAGCACUUUGAUUUGAUCUAUGCCAAUGAAGAAUUGUCAUGGAACAAGACCCAUAUUCAUCUAUACUCCUAACUGUCAAUCUUUAAGUAUCAACUAAUGCUUAAGAAUGUGUUCCAUGCCCACUUCAGCAGUUGAUUUCCCUGCAAAGUAACACUCUAACAUUGAACUAUUAAAAAUCGUUUGCUGUUCCAUUGAGUCAAUUGAUUGAAAGAAUUUGUUGCUUGAAGCCCACAAGAUGGCAUCAAGUGCAGUAAAAUUGACAUUUUACUGAACAUUUAUGAAGUAUGUAUAUUGUAGUAGGCUUACAAGGGAGCUUUUAUU